CAGCAGCCGCGGGAAUACGAAGGGUGCAAGCGUUACUCGGAAUUACUGGGCGUAAAGCGUGCGUAGGUGGUGGUUUAAGUCCGUUGUGAAAGCCCUGGGCUCAACCUGGGAAUUGCAGUGGAUACUGGGUCACUAGAGUGUGGUAGAGGAUAGUGGAAUUUCCGGUGUAGCAGUGAAAUGCGUAGAGAUCGGAAGGAACAUCUGUGGCGAAGGCGACUAUCUGGGCCAACACUGACACUGAGGCACGAAAGCGUGGGGAGCAAACAGGAUUAGAUACCCCAGUAGUCCCUGUCUUUUAUAC
rnacentral:rRNA from 1 species